rnacentral:tRNA from 1 species
GCCGAAGUGGUGAAAUUGGUAGACACGCGGUGUUCAGGUCGCCGUGUCCUAUGGACGUGAGAGUUCGAGUCUCUCCUUCGGCACCA